AGAGUUUGAUCCUGGCUCAGGAUGAACGCUAGCGGCAGGCUUAACACAUGCAAGUCGAGGGGCAGCGGGGUGUAGCAAUACAUCGCCGGCGACCGGCGCACGGGUGCGUAACACGUAUGGAAUCUGCCCUGUACUGGGGAAUAGCCCUCCGAAAGGAGGAUUAAUACCCCGUAAUAGCUUGAGUGGCAUCACUCGGGUUUGAAAGCUCCGGCGGUACAGGAUGACCAUGCGCACGAUUAGCUAGUAGGUGAGGUAACGGCUCACCUAGGCUACGAUCGUUAGGGGGCCUGAGAGGGUUAUCCCCCACACUGGUACUGAGACACGGACCAGACUCCUACGGGAGGCAGCAGUGAGGAAUAUUGCGCAAUGGAGGAAACUCUGACGCAGCCAUGCCGCGUGCAGGAAGACGGCCCUACGGGUUGUAAACUGCUUUUAUCAGGGAAGAAACCCCGGGACGUGUCCCGGGUUGACGGUACCUGAGGAAUAAGCACCGGCUAACUCCGUGCCAGCAGCCGCGGUAAUACGGAGGGUGCAAGCGUUAUCCGGAUUCAUUGGGUUUAAAGGGUGCGUAGGCGGGGUGGUAAGUCAGUGGUGAAAUCCUGCAGCUUAACUGUAGAAUUGCCAUUGAUACUGCCAUUCUUGAGUGCGCUUGAAGUGGGCGGAAUGUGCCGUGUAGCGGUGAAAUGCUUAGAUAUGGCACAGAACACCAAUUGCGAAGGCAGCUCACUAAGGCGAUACUGACGCUGAGGCACGAAAGCGUGGGGAUCGAACAGGAUUAGAUACCCUGGUAGUCCACGCCGUAAACGAUGAUCACUCGUGAUUGGCGAUAUACGGUCAGUCACCUAGCGAAAGCGUUAAGUGAUCCACCU
rnacentral:rRNA from 1 species